rnacentral:tRNA from 1 species
UCCCUGGUGGUCCAGUGUCUAAGACUCUGAGUUGCCAAUGCAGGGGGCCUGGGUUCGAUCCCUGGCCAGGGAA